rnacentral:misc_RNA from 1 species
AAGUCGUAACAAGGUCUCCGUUGGUGAACCAGCGGAGGGAUCAUUACAGAGUUAUCAAAACUCCCAAACCCAUGUGAACAUACCUCGCGUUGCCUCGGCAGGUGGCGCCCCGCCCUGUGAGGGCCUACCCUGUAGGAGCUCACCCGGUGGUCGCCCCUGCCGACGGCCCACGAAACUCUGUUUUUUAUAGCAUUAGACCUCUGAAAAGAUAACUAAAUAAGUUAAAACUUUCAACAACGGAUCUCUUGGUUCUG